UCCAGACUCCUACGGGAGGCAGCAGUGGGGGAUAUUGCACAAUGGGGGGAACCCUGAUGCAGCGACGCCGCGUGGGUGAAGGAGCGUUUCGGCGCGUAAAGCCCUACCGGCAGGGAAGAAGGAGGACGGUACCUGACUAAGAAGCCCCGGCUAACUACGUGCCAGCAGCCGCGGUAAUACGUAGGGGGCAAGCGUUAUCCGGAUUUACUGGGUGUAAAGGGGGCGCAGACGGCAGCGCAAGCCAGGAGUGAAAGCCCGGGGCCCAACCCCGGGACUGCUCUUGGAACUGCGCGGCUGGAGUGCAGGAGGGGCAGGCGGAAUUCCUGGUGUAGCGGUGAAAUGCGUAGAUAUCAGGAGGAACACCGGUGGCGAAGGCGGCCUGCUGGACUGCGACUGACGUUGAGGCCCGAAAGCGUGGGGAGCAAACAGGAUUAGAUACCCCCGUAA
rnacentral:rRNA from 1 species